UCAGUGUCACUUGGAUGCACUCCAAAUGCAAUGUGUGGGCUGAAGUUUAAUUUUAUUUGAACUUAAACUUGAGCCAACACAUUGCAUUUGGGGUGAAUUCAAAUGAUACU
rnacentral:miRNA from 1 species